rnacentral:rRNA from 1 species
AGUAACACGUGAGCAACCUGCCCCUGACUCUGGGAUAAGCGCUGGAAACGGCGUCUAAUACUGGAUAUGUGACGUGACCGCAUGGUCUGCGUUUGGAAAGAUUUUUCGGUUGGGGAUGGGCUCGCGGCCUAUCAGCUUGUUGGUGAGGUAAUGGCUCACCAAGGCGUCGACGGGUAGCCGGCCUGAGAGGGUGACCGGCCACACUGGGACUGAGACACGGCCCAGACUCCUACGGGAGGCAGCAGUGGGGAAUAUUGCACAAUGGGCGAAAGCCUGAUGCAGCAACGCCGCGUGAGGGAUGACGGCCUUCGGGUUGUAAACCUCUUUUAGCAGGGAAGAAGCGAAAGUGACGGUACCUGCAGAAAAAGCGCCGGCUAACUACGUGCCAGCAGCCGCGGUAAUACGUAGGGCGCAAGCGUUAUCCGGAAUUAUUGGGCGUAAAGAGCUCGUAGGCGGUUUGUCGCGUCUGCUGUGAAAUCCCGAGGCUCAACCUCGGGCCUGCAGUGGGUACGGGCAGACUAGAGUGCGGUAGGGGAGAUUGGAAUUCCUGGUGUAGCGGUGGAAUGCGCAGAUAUCAGGAGGAACACCGAUGGCGAAGGCAGAUCUCUGGGCCGUAACUGACGCUGAGGAGCGAAAGGGUGGGGAGCAAACAGGCUUAGAUACCCUGGUAGUCCACCCCGUAAACGUUGGGAACUAGUUGUGGGGUCCAUUCCACGGAUUCCGUGACGCAGCUAACGCAUUAAGUUCCCCGCCUGGGGAGUACGGCCGCAAGGCUAAAACUCAAAGGAAUUGACGGGGACCCGCACAAGCGGCGGAGCAUGCGGAUUAAUUCGAUGCAACGCGAAGAACCUUACCAAGGCUUGACAUAUACGAGAACGGGCCAGAAAUGGUCAACUCUUUGGACACUCGUAAACAGGUGGUGCAUGGUUGUCGUCAGCUCGUGUCGUGAGAUGUUGGGUUAAGUCCCGCAACGAGCGCAACCCUCGUUCUAUGUUGCCAGCACGUAAUGGUGGGAACUCAUGGGAUACUGCCGGGGUCAACUCGGAGGAAGGUGGGGAUGACGUCAAAUCAUCAUGCCCCUUAUGUCUUGGGCUUCACGCAUGCUACAAUGGCCGGUACAAAGGGCUGCAAUACCGUGAGGUGGAGCGAAUCCCAAAAAGCCGGUCCCAGUUCGGAUUGAGGUCUGCAACUCGACCUCAUGAAGUCGGAGUCGCUAGUAAUCGCAGAUCAGCAACGCUGCGGUGAAUACGUUCCCGGGUCUUGUACACACCGCCCGUCAAGUCAUGAAAGUCGGUAACACCUGAAGCCGGUGGCCUAAC